rnacentral:misc_RNA from 1 species
UUCGGUUGUUUGCUUGGCUCUUUAGCCUUGUAGGUGGCCGUUUCCAGAGGCGGCUUCGGGAAUGUCUAUCGUAAAGGUGCAUGAGUGGUGUUUGGUUUGAUAUGGGUGGCUGGCUCCCUGCUUGAGCAGGCACGGCCACGCGUACAUUCCUUUUCAGUUGUGCGGCAAGGCUUGUAUCGUCUUGAUCGUAUAUGUGGGUUUCCUGUGUUGCAUACCUGAUCAAUGGCAUCGUUUUGAUCAAAAGCAUACAAUUUUCGUCAGGCUUUGCACUCGCAACGUCAGAUGAACCGUGUACCAUCCUCUUUGAUCCAUAUAAUCGAUGACAAUUCGUUGAUUGUUUGGCCCGUUGAGGGUGGCUUGGUCUCUCGGAUAUGGAAGCCAAAGUGGGCAUGGGUUCUUAUGUUCCUUUUAUUGCCCUCGUUAAGCUUUAUCGCUUCUCUUACACGACUGCCUUUCACGUAUGGCAUGUCCCAGCGUGUUUGGCUAUGUCGAAGAGGAA